ensembl:lncRNA
CUUGCAAUAAAUAAAGCUAUUCCUCAAAACCUAUCGGCGUAACACAUUGGAGGUUUUACAUGGGGACGAGAAAAUCUUGAGCCAAACUAAUAUUUUAAAUGUUUUUGCUUUAUUGGAUAUAAAGACCAUAAGAAAAACAAAAUUACAAAAAAGAAGGUCCGAUCGACAUCACACAAAGCAGGCUACACAGAAAAGGUUUGUCAGGUUCUCUCAAGCCUCAUUGUGGAGGUGGGAGGGAAAAUACAGAAUUGGCAUGAGAGAGACACCACUACAGGGAACCAGGAACCACCUCUACCCGGACUGCGCGUUUGUUGUCCAGCUCUGCUGAGAUCUGACCUGUCCUUUCCAUCAACACACAGUCUUUCCUGCAAGACUCCUCUUUGCUGCAGGAAAGUAUGACUGAGAACACAUUCUUUUCUUCAACAAACAACCAGGUGGCAAUAAGGGUUACUGCUUU